AUUGAACGCUGGCGGCAGGCCUAACACAUGCAAGUCGAACGAGUGGCGGACGGGUGAGUAAUGUCUGGGAAACUGCCUGUUGGAGGGGGAUAACUACUGGAAACGGUAGCUAAUACUGCCUACCAUCAGAUGUGCCCAGAUGGGAUUUGCUUGUUGGUGGGGUAACGGCUCACCAAGGCGACGAUCCCUAGCUGGUCUGAGAGGAUGACCGGCAACACUGGAACUGAGAAACGGUCCAGACUCCUACGGAAGGCAGAAGUGGGGAAUAUUGCACAAUGGGCGCAAGCCUGAUGCAGCCAUGCCGCGGGGAUGAAGAAGGCCUUCGGGUUGUAAGGUACUGUGAGCGGGGAGGCGUUACCCGCAGAAGAAGCACCGGCUAACUCCGUGCCAGCAGCCGCGGUAAUAC
rnacentral:rRNA from 1 species